CAAUUUAUUAUAAAAUUAAUAUAUAAAAAUACAAAGUUCACUAACUUUUUCAACUUAUUUUCCAUUACAUUUUUUAAAAUUCAUAUCUGGUCAAAGUAUGACAAAAUUUAGGGUUCGGAUGGAAUAUUUCUUUCUUGAGCCCAAAGUCAAAUAAAUCCAUGGAAAAGUCUUCCUUCUUCUUCCUUCCUCCACAUCACACGCCUACUACUCCCUCCCCACUCCAAGAUCUUUUCAAAUUCCCAUCUUUAUUCCCUACAAUCAUACACCAAAAUUCGAGCUCCCAUAUUAUCUACACCCCUGUUGUUUGAAGAAAAAUCGAGAGAGAAGAAAGAGAUUUCAAGUUCUUAUCAAGUCGAGAGCAGUAGUGGCGGCGGCUGAAGCAGCGACAGCUGUUGUCCACGGAGAUCAGGCAACAGCGGCACCGGAUGGCGGUGACCGGAGACAACUGGCGAAAAAGAGAGAUUAGCCGUGAGUAGAGAUGUGAUACGCUCGGAUUUCGCUCUGUUUUAAGGCCAAUAUUUGAUCCGUUUUUUAGUGUCAAAGUUGCAUUAUAUGUCCAUUAUUUGCAUAUUUGAUCCAUUUUGGUAUUUUGACGUGUUUUGUGAUAAAUGUGCAAAAUUGAGCUGAAAAAGUUAUAAAAAGGUCAAUAUUCGGAAGUUGGAACUAAAGGGCAACCCAUCGGUAGCUGAAAAGCAUUCCAAAGAGCUUGAAAGCUGUCCACCGGCCCGCUGGGCCUGUUCGCGCGCGGCAGUCCCAAACACAUUUUUCUGGUGAUUCUGACUUCUGAUCAGGUGGUCUUUCUACACCAUUCUCUUCUUCUUCGAAAGAUCUUCGCGAUGGUACGUUGAUCAUCUCAAUCGGAGUUUCGUGGAGAAAGUUGUCGCCAUUUUACCAAAGUCGUGCAAUGUUGUCAAGAGCUGAAUUUAUGCGGAAAUUCAAGAAAGGAAAGAAACUAUUACCUUAUGAAGCCAAAUCUGUCCUUUAACCUAUGAGGCACGAAAUUUCCAUCUUUUCUAUUACUUGGACGACGUCUUUUACCAAAUUCAAACAUUUUUCAAGCCUAUAUAUACCCCAUAACCUAAUUCUUCAUCUAUUGUUCCAUCCAUCAUUCAUGGAGAUUGGAGCAAGGCAAGAGAAGACUAAUGAUUGCACAACAAUUCAUCUUGGGUUUUGUUUGUUUUUCUUUAUGUUUUGUAUUUUAAUUUGUACUUUUUGCUAUUUGUCUAUGAUUAGCUAAACUAUAAGAAUUUUUGGGAUGCGUUAGUAACUUUUAUUAGUUUAUAUAAUUCCACUUUUUUGUA